rnacentral:rRNA from 1 species
CCAGACUCCUACGGGAGGCAGCAGUGGGGAAUAUUGGACAAUGGGGGAAACCCUGAUGCAGCGACGCCGCGUGAGUGAAGAAGUAAUUCGUUACGUAAAGCUCUAUCAGCAGGGAAGAAACACUGACCUUACGGUCAGCAGACGGUACCUGAGUAAGAAGCCCCGGCUAACUACGUGCCAGCAGCCGCGGUAAUACGUAGGGGGCAAGCGUUAUCCGGAUUUACUGGGUGUAAAGGGAGCGUAGGCGGCAGGGCAAGCCUGAUGUGAAAGCCCGGGGCUCAACCCCGGGACUGCAUUGGGAACUGCCCCGCUCGAGUGCCGGAGGGGCAGGCGGAAUUCCUAGUGUAGCGGUGAAAUGCGUAGAUAUUAGGAGGAACACCAGUGGCGAAGGCGGCCUGCUGGACGGUGUACUGACGCUGAGGCUCGAAAGCGUGGGGAGCAAACAGGAUUAGAUACCCGGGUAC